rnacentral:rRNA from 1 species
GGGUUGUGAGGUUAAGCGACUAAGCGUACACGGUGGAUGCCCUGGCAGUCAGAGGCGAUGAAGGACGUGCUAAUCUGCGAUAAGCGUCGGUAAGGUGAUAUGAACCGUUAUAACCGGCGAUUUCCGAAUGGGGAAACCCAGUGUGAUUCGUCACACUAUCAUUAACUGAAUCCAUAGGUUAAUGAGGCGAACCGGGGGAACUGAAACAUCUAAGUACCCCGAGGAAAAGAAAUCAACCGAGAUUCCCCCCAGUAGCGGCGAGCGAACGGGGAGCAGCCCAGAGCCUGAAUCAGUGUGUGUGUUAGUGGAAGCGUCUGGAAAGGCGCGCGAUACAGGGUGACAGCCCCGUACACAAAAAUGCACAUGCUGUGAGCUCGAUGAGUAGGGCGGGACACGUGGUAUCCUGUCUGAAUAUGGGGGGACCAUCCUCCAAGGCUAAAUACUCCUGACUGACCGAUAGUGAACCAGUACCGUGAGGGAAAGGCGAAAAGAACCCCGGCGAGGGGAGUGAAAAAGAACCUGAAACCGUGUACGUACAAGCAGUGGGAGCACGCUUAGGCGUGUGACUGCGUACCUUUUGUAUAAUGGGUCAGCGACUUAUAUUCUGUAGCAAGGUUAACCGAAUAGGGGAGCCGAAGGGAAACCGAGUCUUAACUGGGCGUUAAGUUGCAGGGUAUAGACCCGAAACCCGGUGAUCUAGCCAUGGGCAGGUUGAAGGUUGGGUAACACUAACUGGAGGACCGAACCGACUAAUGUUGAAAAAUUAGCGGAUGACUUGUGGCUGGGGGUGAAAGGCCAAUCAAACCGGGAGAUAGCUGGUUCUCCCCGAAAGCUAUUUAGGUAGCGCCUCGUGAAUUCAUCUCCGGGGGUAGAGCACUGUUUCGGCAAGGGGGUCAUCCCGACUUACCAACCCGAUGCAAACUGCGAAUACCGGAGAAUGUUAUCACGGGAGACACACGGCGGGUGCUAACGUCCGUCGUGAAGAGGGAAACAACCCAGACCGCCAGCUAAGGUCCCAAAGUCAUGGUUAAGUGGGAAACGAUGUGGGAAGGCCCAGACAGCCAGGAUGUUGGCUUAGAAGCAGCCAUCAUUUAAAGAAAGCGUAAUAGCUCACUGGUCGAGUCGGCCUGCGCGGAAGAUGUAACGGGGCUAAACCAUGCACCGAAGCUGCGGCAGCGACGCUUAUGCGUUGUUGGGUAGGGGAGCGUUCUGUAAGCCUGUGAAGGUGUGCUGUGAGGCAUGCUGGAGGUAUCAGAAGUGCGAAUGCUGACAUAAGUAACGAUAAAGCGGGUGAAAAGCCCGCUCGCCGGAAGACCAAGGGUUCCUGUCCAACGUUAAUCGGGGCAGGGUGAGUCGACCCCUAAGGCGAGGCCGAAAGGCGUAGUCGAUGGGAAACAGGUUAAUAUUCCUGUACUUGGUGUUACUGCGAAGGGGGGACGGAGAAGGCUAUGUUGGCCGGGCGACGGUUGUCCCGGUUUAAGCGUGUAGGCUGGUUUUCCAGGCAAAUCCGGAAAAUCAAGGCUGAGGCGUGAUGACGAGGCACUACGGUGCUGAAGCAACAAAUGCCCUGCUUCCAGGAAAAGCCUCUAAGCAUCAGGUAACAUCAAAUCGUACCCCAAACCGACACAGGUGGUCAGGUAGAGAAUACCAAGGCGCUUGAGAGAACUCGGGUGAAGGAACUAGGCAAAAUGGUGCCGUAACUUCGGGAGAAGGCACGCUGAUAUGUAGGUGAAGUCCCUCGCGGAUGGAGCUGAAAUCAGUCGAAGAUACCAGCUGGCUGCAACUGUUUAUUAAAAACACAGCACUGUGCAAACACGAAAGUGGACGUAUACGGUGUGACGCCUGCCCGGUGCCGGAAGGUUAAUUGAUGGGGUCAGCGCAAGCGAAGCUCUUGAUCGAAGCCCCGGUAAACGGCGGCCGUAACUAUAACGGUCCUAAGGUAGCGAAAUUCCUUGUCGGGUAAGUUCCGACCUGCACGAAUGGCGUAAUGAUGGCCAGGCUGUCUCCACCCGAGACUCAGUGAAAUUGAACUCGCUGUGAAGAUGCAGUGUACCCGCGGCAAGACGGAAAGACCCCGUGAACCUUUACUAUAGCUUGACACUGAACAUUGAGCCUUGAUGUGUAGGAUAGGUGGGAGGCUUAGAAGUGUGGACGCCAGUCUGCAUGGAGCCGACCUUGAAAUACCACCCUUUAAUGUUUGAUGUUCUAACGUUGACCCGUAAUCCGGGUUGCGGACAGUGUCUGGUGGGUAGUUUGACUGGGGCGGUCUCCUCCUAAAGAGUAACGGAGGAGCACGAAGGUUGGCUAAUCCCUGGUCGGACAUCAGGAGGUUAGUGCAAUGGCAUAAGCCAGCUUGACUGCGAGCGUGACGGCGCGAGCAGGUGCGAAAGCAGGUCAUAGUGAUCCGGUGGUUCUGAAUGGAAGGGCCAUCGCUCAACGGAUAAAAGGUACUCCGGGGAUAACAGGCUGAUACCGCCCAAGAGUUCAUAUCGACGGCGGUGUUUGGCACCUCGAUGUCGGCUCAUCACAUCCUGGGGCUGAAGUAGGUCCCAAGGGUAUGGCUGUUCGCCAUUUAAAGUGGUACGCGAGCUGGGUUUAGAACGUCGUGAGACAGUUCGGUCCCUAUCUGCCGUGGGCGCUGGAGAACUGAGGGGGGCUGCUCCUAGUACGAGAGGACCGGAGUGGACGCAUCACUGGUGUUCGGGUUGUCAUGCCAAUGGCACUGCCCGGUAGCUAAAUGCGGAAGAGAUAAGUGCUGAAAGCAUCUAAGCACGAAACUUGCCCCGAGAUGAGUUCUCCCUGACUCCUUGAGAGUCCUGAAGGAACGUUGAAGACGACGACGUUGAUAGGCCGGGUGUGUAAGCGCAGCGAUGCGUUGAGCUAACCGGUACUAAUGAACCGUGAGGCUUAACCUUACAACGCCGAAGCUGUU